rnacentral:lncRNA from 1 species
AUAAAUGUUCCCAGAUAAACAGUGAUAGCCAAUUGUAGCCUUAAGCUAGUCAAACAGAAAUGUUCUAGACAAAGGCUGUCCUGUUUUAUCUGCCUUAUCUUUUUCUGACUUACCAAAUGCUGCCCUAGUCCUUCCUUUCUCCCUCUCCCCCUCCCUCCCUCCUUCUUCCUCCCCUCCUCCUCCUGUCUCCCCUUCUUCUCCUGCCUUCCCUCCUCCUGUCUCCCCUUCUUCUCCUGCCUUCCCUCCUCCUCUCCUUCUUCUCUUUCCUCCUUCCCCUCCUCCCUCUUUCUUCCCUCUCUCCCUUCCUCCCCUUAUCCUCCUUCCUCUCUCCCCUCCUUCCUUCCUCCAUCCCUCUCUCCUUCCCCUCCAUUUCCCUUCCAUCCUCUGCUACUGCCUCUUUUCCUUUUUUUGGUAUCUGAUUCUGAUCGCUCUUCCUUUGUUAUAUACACUGACUUCUGUUUCAAUUAGAAGUUCUUAAGUAUCAAUUGAAGUCUGAAAACUGCUAAAUUGAACAGAGAAAGAAGAUAUUUCUCUGCAAAUACCAUACAAUAAUGAUUUGCUUAUUCCUUCAAUUCAUCGGGAGGAAGUUCAGUCUAAAUCGAAAUCCUGGAAUAAAUGAAACACACAGGAGAGUCAAGAACAGCAGUAUUCCUAUUCUUCUGUUUCUUCAAGUUCCACUACUGCAGAUUUGUUCCUAAGACUUUGUUUCUUUUAAAACAGGAGGCAUUACAACUCCUCUGGGAGAGGCCCUGUGGUCAGCCCUGGACACCUGAAAAUGAGUGCACUCCUGUCCUUACCGAGCUCAUCUUCUAUUACCACCUCAUUUUUCUAAAGUUGUCAUGAGAAUCUUUCCUCAGAGUUUUUAUAAAUUACUUUAAAAAAAAAGAAAAGUAUAUAUAUCAAUCUCCAUGGGAGAUUGGGACAUAAUAGUGGAGGAAACUGAAAUCAAAGCAGAAAACAACAGUGACAAAUGUUCGCGAAGGCUGUUGGUGAAGAAAAUGAUUCAUUAUUUAGCAACCAAGAGUUUCUAGCUGCUUUUACUACUGACCAGCAACGUCUUAGAAGUCAGGAUGGUCCAGAAGGUGCCUAACACAUAUUUCCCUGACUUCAAACAUCUCUCUGCCAACCAGGCAAGGUAGAAUGCAUGUGCAGGAAACAAUCAGAGAACAUUUGAAUAGCUAAAUACUCAGCGACGACUGCGAUUUCAAUGGCCAUAUUGAUAAGGAGAAGCCAUGUGGAUUGAAACGUCUCAAAGAAAUUUUGCAGAAGAAACAAAUCCUGGUACAUUUGAGCAAUAUCAAAAGCAUUCUGGUCUACCCUACAUUGGACUUAAAAUUGGGUCAACUUGUGAAUGAAAAAGUUGGGCUAUAUUUAUGUCUUUAAAGUUAGACUGGCCAUCCCCAAAUCAUACAGAAACUGUUUAUUUUAUUGUUGCUUCUAGUAUAUACCAGUCACUUAUAUCCUUAUCCUCCUCGCUCAAUGCUCUAUCACUAAAUGCCUAAGAGAAAACACCUAAUUGUAAUUUGUUACAAAGAUUUUAACAAGUUAAUGAAAAAUCUACAAAUUCUUUUAUGAGAGACAGUCAACUUUCAAGAGGGAAAGAGGUUGGGGGUGGUGGUGGAAUUCAAUAGCCCAUUCAGUGCUGAAAUGUGAACACUAAGGCCACUCUUUGGAUAAAUUCAAGCCAGAUUUGGCCUGCAGCUCUUGCUGGGCAGUUCCCAGAUGAGAGCAGGCCUUCAGCCUGUGCUGAAGAAGCGCGGAAUAAUGCCUCUUUGAAUUAGUUUCAAAAUAGUGCUGCAAUGCAGACUGACAACUUCUGAUGCCAAAUUGCAAGAAGCACACAUAAUAGCAGUUUGUUAAAGAACCCAAAGUACCACUAAAGGGUAUAGUUAUUAAUAUAAAUUAUAAACUUAAAAAGAAACCAGAAUAAACUGGCAUCAGAUUACUAACCUAACCGUGAG